ensembl:lncRNA
CAAAACCUUUGCUGGCUACAACCUUCAGUAACUAUGUUAUAUGAACCCUAAAAUAAAACUGUUUACUGUUACAUUGGGACCAUUUAUGGUGGGUUUUCGAAUUAUGUAUUAGGAUUUGUUCAGGAUAGACGAAACCUUCGCUGGCUACACAAUUCUCUCAUCUUUUCACUUGAUGAAAAAGUCAGCUAUUUUAACCUACAGUUAAGCCCAAAUGUAUUCAUGCCCAUGCCGAAUUUUGAGUUAUAGUGAAUUUGUAUUUGACCAAAAGUUCUUCUGGCUGGAAAUUACAUAAGUGACAAAACACGGUAAGACAUUGUGCUGGAGAUAAAAAUUCAUAACGUAACUAUUUCAGUUUUUUUCACAGUUUUACAAGAAAUGUCAAGUCCAACAUUAUUCAUAACCCUUGAAAUAGUUGGACAUUUUUGAGAAAAUUUUUCUUUACCAUUUACAAUGGUCUUGUAAUUUCCACCAUGAGAGAGCAUUCUAAUCACCUAUAAAUUGAGAAACAGCAGUAAUUCUCUAGUCAGUUACUAGGCAACUACAAGUCAUGGCUAAAAAUAGAAAUAGAUACGCAAUUCAUUUGUGUCUCCAGCACAAUGUCGUACCGUGUUUUGUCACUUGUUUAUGUCAUUUCCAGCCAGAAGAAACAUAUUGGUCAAAUAAAAUUAAAUAUAGCAAAAAAUUUGGCAUGGGUAUGAAUACUGAUGGGCUUAACUGUAUAUUGAUAGUUACUGUAUCAAUGUCAUUCACCAAUGGCUAAUAAGCUGUUAAAAUGGCCAGUGGCAAAAGCCAUACAGUUAAGAAACAUUAGUCAGUUUAAUACAAAGCUUAAUGGUUUCUAGUGACAUUUCAAACUCGGUAUGAUGUUAAUGCGUGACAAAAUGAUCUAAUGUCGAGGUGCUGUACCGACACAGGGAAAACAUUUAGCACCAUGGUCUAGUGGUUAAAGACACAGCCACUAAUGUGGGAGAACUGGGUUUGAAUCUGGUGGGGCAACAAUGACCAUUGCCUUUUAUUGUGGGCCGGCUGAACUAGACUAGACCUGGUUUCUUGUUUCUUGUUAACUUUCUCGUUAAUGACUUGAAUUACUCUAUAUACUCCCUUUGGUUCUGUUUAAGAGACAAAGGUAUGUUCAGUAUAAUACAUUAAACCUAAUUUGUUUUACAGAAAGAGACACAUCUCAGAGGUAAGAAUUCCCAUUGGAUUGGAUUGUUUUUAUGCAGUUUUUCAUCAACCUUUUGUUCUGUGUUUUUGUACAUGAUGAAAUAUGUUUUACCAAAAACCUGUUCAUGCAUAUUUCUCUUCUUAUAGACCUCAAGCCCAACAAGACGAUCAUUACCAACGAAUUGUGAUGGGAACCAAAAGGACGGGAAGCAUGGUGGAUUCAGGGAAUGAGGGGCUUUGUUCUCUCAUCCCCUCUGAAGCAUCCACGUUCAUACUCUCAGGUCCUGUUGGAGAGAACGGAGAAACAUCUGAAUAUGUUAAUCCUGAUAUAUACCAUGUCUACUCUUCAAUCCCGAACAGACCAGCAGUCUCGGGCCAUAAGGACAACAUCACUGGCUUUCUGUAGAUACAGUCUUGUGUACAGUUAUGUUUUAUUUUUGCUCUUUAUUCAAUCUCUUUGUAUUUGAAAUAAAACAAUGACAGUGGUGUAAAAAUAUAGUAUUAUUGUAUUAGGUGAACAAUAGAAAAAUCACAGAAUGGUUUGUACAUAUUUUCCCAUAGGGAGCCAUGUGUAUUUCGGCAGUUGUCUUCAAAGCUGAUUCUUAUUAGAUUGUUUUUGAUUGCUUGCAAUAAAAUUGACUGCCC